ensembl:lincRNA Gm28228 predicted gene 28228
UUUCCAUUCUCCUGUUGGCGUGUGUGUGCCCUUCCUCUGAUCUGGUAUAGCGCUGAGCUCAGUGGUAGAGGAGAGACACUUUAUAAAAGGGGAGCCUAGAACAGGAGGCUAAAGAGACGGUCUGUAAUUGAAAGUUCUUUCAGGAGAGACGUUCUAUCAGGCCUGCUAAGGGAGUCAGCUGCACCUGCUGGCUUUUUAUGCUGAGCAUCUCUGAAAGGAUGCAAAGCAUAAAGAAAUUGAAUGGUGCUGUUUCUUUUAUAAUCUCUCAGCGGAAAUACAGUUUUAAAAAUUAUCGAUAAGAUGUACAAGUCAGACCAAGGGUUUUACGAUGAAACUGCAAUCUAUAGCUUGUUUUAAUCUUGUGGAUAGUGUUCUGCUUCUCUGACAUGCUCUAAACAAAAUUAUAAUCUGUAACCAUAUAUGACUUCCUAAGUUGCUGCAACCGUGGCUCUUAGGGAGGGCUCGGCACUUCAGAUAUCACAUCACUCAGCCAUAGAUACUGAACCACUCAUCCAUAUGUGUGUUGUUUUAAGAAGAUUUAGUCUCUUUUUAUGAGUAGCUUAGAAGAAACACCAGCUAUUUAGGAUCUAAGGAACAGAGAUGAGACAACGGUACUUUUAACCAGCAUAGACA